rnacentral:lncRNA from 1 species
GUUGUGACAGCCCGAUGCCGACGUUCCAGAAGAUUCCCCUCUCUUUCCGUUUUCGUCGUGUGGCUUAUUUUAUUUGUCGCAUCAUCAUCACAUCCUACGCAUCAUCUGCAUUGCAUCGGCAUCUCCGUUGCCGCCAGUUUUCAAACUUGCAUCCGUUGUUAGUUGCCAGUUCGCGUCGUCGUCCGUUCUGAGCCCGACCGCACUCGCACGCGCGUGCGGCACCGUCG